UUCAGCAGUCACACGGCCUGCAGUUCAGACCAGAUAAUCCAGCUGAAGCUAAGCUGGUUUAGGCCUGGCUAGUAUGUCAAUGGGAGACCAACUAGAAAAGCUGGGUUGCUGCUGGAA
rnacentral:rRNA from 1 species